rnacentral:rRNA from 1 species
AUUGAACGCUGGCGGCAUGCCUUACACAUGCCAGUCGAACGGCCGCACGGGUGCUUGCACCUGGUGGCGAUUGGCGAAGGGGUGAGUCAUACAUCGACACAUGUCCUGUAGUGGGGGAGGGCCAGGACCAAGCCGGAUUAAUGCCGCAAACGAUCUACGGAGAAAAGUGGGGGACCUUCGGGUUUCGCGCUUGAGGGGUGGAUGGUGGCUGAUUCGCUAGAUGGUGGGGCGAAGGGCUAGCAAGGCGACCCACAGUAGCCGGUCUCAGAGGACGACCAUAUACAUGGGGACUGAGACACGGCCGAGACUCCUACGGGAGGCAGCAGUGGGGAAUUUUGGACAAUGGGCGAGAGCCUGAUCCAGCAAUGCCGCGUGUGUGAAGAAGGCCUUCGGGUUGUAAAGCACUGUUGUCCGGAAAGAAAUACUUGGCCCUAAGACGGUCGGGGGAUGACGGUACCGGAAGAAUAAGCACCGGCUAACUACGUG